GACGAACCGUGCGAACGUUGUUCGGAAUCACUGGGCUUAAAGGGCGCGUAGGCGGGCAUGCAAGUCGAAGGUGAAAGCCCACAGCUCAACUGUGGAAGUGCCCCCGAUACUGCAUGUCUGGAGGGAGGUAGGGGCGUGCGGAACUUCCGGUGGAGCGGUGAAAUGCGUAGAUAUCGGAAGGAACACCGGUGGCGAAAGCGGCACGCUGGACCUCUACUGACGCUGAGGCGCGAAAGCCAGGGGAGCAAACGGG
rnacentral:rRNA from 1 species